rnacentral:rRNA from 1 species
GACGAACGCUGGCGGCGUGCUUAACACAUGCAAGUCGAACGGAAAGGCCCUGCUUUUGUGGGGUGCUCGAGUGGCGAACGGGUGAGUAACACGUGAGUAACCUGCCCUUGACUUUGGGAUAACUUCAGGAAACUGGGGCUAAUACCGGAUAGGAGCUCCUGCUGCACGGUGGGGGUUGGAAAGUUUCGGCGGUUGGGGAUGGACUCGCGGCUUAUCAGCUUGUUGGUGGGGUAGUGGCUUACCAAGGCUUUGACGGGUAGCCGGCCUGAGAGGGGGGCCGGCCACCCUGGAACUGAGACACGGCCCAGAGGCCUACGGGAGGCACCAGUAGGGAACAUGGCGCAAUGGGCGGAAGCAUUACGGAGCAAGGCCGAGUGUUUGAGGAAGGCCUCCGGGUCGGAAAGGACGGUCUUUGGGUAGGAACCCAUUUUGCCGUAUACGUGCACUUAGUGACGGUAACUGAUUAAAAAGCCACGGCUAACUACGUG